GCACGCACUGCCUUGGUGACCAAGGAAGGCACCCCACGGCUAUGGGGAAAUUAGCCUGAGACUUAGCUUUCAUUAUCACUGUCUCCCAGGGUGUGCUUGUCGAAGAGAUAUUCUGCCGAGCCAGAUUCGGGCGCUCCCAUCUUGCGCAAGUUGGUCACGUGGUCACUCAAUUCUUUGAUGGCUUUCACCUGCUCAUUCAGGGCACUAAUAUACACAUGAUGAUACUUAAUUCUCUCAGAAAACCUUUGGCAAAGACACUUUCUACAUCUUGAAGGCAAGGAAUCUGAAUCUUGAAGAGAUUAAAUGAAUUGUCCAAAGUCACGUGGGGGUUUGGGAGAAGGAAAAUCAUGAACACACAUUCUUCUACUCUGGAGAAGUGGGGAAGGUGACCUGGGAAACCAUCUGAAAGGGAGCAGGAUGGAUUCUAUAAAAUAUAGAGUGUUCAAUGAAAACAACCUGAUGCUCCUCCCAGUACCAUCACAUUUUUCUAGCUGCAUAUCCUUAGGCAUGAGGCUGAAGCCAGGAAAUGACCCAACAUUGAGGGUAAUCUGGGCACUGAAGGCACUACAAUUCCCAGGAUUUUUCAAGAAAAUGUCGAAUGUGCUGCCACAUAUGUCGGAUGCACAUGGAUCCCCUCCCACAAGGAAAAUCACGAUUGAAGAUCACCUCCUUGAAGAUGUCGUAUUGGGAGCGGUGUUUUUCCCUGUUGCUGACAGGUUAGACUUGCACAGGCGUCAGUACUGAGGUGUGAGACGGAGCCCAUGUAUGGCUUCUAUCUCUGCACUGUGGCUGCUCCGUUCAUGUGUCAGUCACAUCAGCUCAGAGACUGCCUAAUGUCAACUGGCCUAGUCAUUUUGUC
rnacentral:lncRNA from 1 species